AGAUCACCACAGUGAUUUGCAAGCAACUCACUGUGCUUUGGUGUCAAACUAUCUGAAUUUCUAAUUCAGUGAUGAAAAUUUUUUUAGCACAGUCAAGUACUUGAGAAAUCGAUGUGUGAGUCAAGAUGGAAUUGAUCCCUUCGAAUAAGUAAGAGUUAAUGUAUCAGUGUAUUUCAAUUCAGUAAAACCUCGACUGGAGUAAUCCAUGUGAUGAAUUUUGAAAAUUAAAAUAUA
rnacentral:lncRNA from 1 species